CUAGCAACUAGCUCUUGCUCAAGACCAGCUAAAACCAGAUGCCAUGUUUCAAAACAUACCUUAUCAGCAUGCUGCUUUUUUUUUUUUUUUUUAACAGGGGGGCGUGGCAAGUUAAUACCGCCCAUACUCUACACACUGUUGAAUUCCUUUUGUUUUCAUAAAAUAGCUACAUCUGUCUUAAAGGCAUUGCAGCAGCUCUCUAUCAACGCAUAUCUUUUACAGGAGGUCACAGAACAUCGCAUACAAAAAAUGUCAAGUUGGGGCAACCUGGAUGAAGUGGGUGAAGAGUGGUGGGACAAUGCAUAUAAGUUGUUUCUUGAAAGUGAACCAAUAAGAACCACCCUGAAAGGGCAAUUCUGGUGGUGAUUUCCAGAACGAGGAGAAUGGAGUGGGGUGACUGGAAGAAGCUACGUCAGGCAUCUUCUGAACCUAAGGAUCUAGACAGCAGUGACAAGACACUUAUAAACUGGGUUACUGACCUGGUGUAUAAUGAGGACGGCAGCCCUAAACCAUUCAACAGAAAGACUUAACGAUAUUAAUGAUAAUCAGAAUGAUGUCAGAAUGUUAGCCAAAGUUCUGUUCAAAGCUGUUUUUAUUAUAUGGCUUUUCCUAAUAUUAUUAUUAAUAGUUCCAUCAGUUAAUCAUUCAUACAGUAGUUAAUCAUUUGCAUUUACAUUUGCAUCUAUAAGAGACUAUUGCAUGCUUUCAAAAGCGUUUAUCAUGUUUGUUUGAGAACGUCCAUAGGUCCAUAGUAAUGAUCACUUAUUCAUCGUUAACUCAAAAUCAAGGUCUUCUUUUGUUUUUAUCUGCAGUUAAAAUAAAGCAAUGAUGUAUGUCCA
ensembl:lncRNA